rnacentral:lncRNA from 1 species
GUAGGACAACGUGGAAAGAAGACACUUGUGUAUGGCCAACCACCCUAGUAUCUUCAACAGUUACCGUUGUUAUACCCAAGUUCAAAGCCUUGGCAGUACCCACCAUCCUGUCUACCUGAGCAACUGAGGAGUUUGAAACAUACCAUCGGUGAAAGGCAGAUGGCAGAAUAACAAGUUGUGGAAUAUUCCCACGGCAACUGAAGAGUUUGAAACAGACCAUUGGUGAAAGGCAGAUGGCAGAGUAACAAGUUGAGGAAUAUUCCCACGGAUAACUUUAAGACUAUAAUGAACAAUAGCACCAACAAGGACACAAACCGGCGAAGGA